UAAGACGAUGAGGUGCGGUUUGCAGCCAU
rnacentral:sRNA from 1 species